GAUGAACGCUGGCGGCGUGCCUAAUACAUGCAAGUCGAGCGAACGGACGAGAAGCUUGCUUCUCUGAUGUUAGCGGCGGACGGGUGAUUAACACGUGGAUAACCUACCUAUAAGACUGGGAUAACUUCGGGAAACCGGAGCUCAUACCGGAUAAUAUUUUGAACCGCAUGGUUCAAAAGUGAAGGACGGUCUUGCUGUCACUUAUAGAUGGAUCCGCGCUGCAUUAGCUAGUUGGUAGGGUAACGGCUUACCAAGGCAACGAUGCGUAGCCGACCUGAGAGGACGAUCGGCCACACUGGGACUGAGACACGGCCCAGACUCCUACGGGAGGCAGCAGUGGGGAAUUUUGGACAAUGGGGGCAAGCCUGAUCCAGCCAUGCCGCGUGCGGGAAGAAGGCCUUCGGGUUGUAAAACGCUGUUGUUCGGGAAGAAAACCUCUGGGCUAAUACCCCGGGGGGAUGACGGUACCGGAAGAAUAAGCACCGGCUAACUACGUG
rnacentral:rRNA from 1 species